GAUGAACGCUGGCGGCGUGCUUAAUACAUGCAAGUCGAACGAGGAACUUUUGUCUUCGGAUGGAGGUUUCCUAGUGGCGAAACGGGUGAGUAACGCGUUGGUGACCUGCCCCGAAGAGAGGGAUAACAGGCCGAAAGGCCUGCUAAUACCGCAUGAGCUAGCCAUAGUUUAGGAACGUGGUUAGGAAAAGGAGUAAUCCGCUUUGGGAGGGCCUGCGUCCCAUCAGCUAGUUGGUAAGGUAACGGCUUACCAAGGCGAUGACGGGUAGGGGCCUGAGAGGGUGAUCCCCCACAAUGGAACUGAAACACGGUCCAUACACCUACGGGUGGCAG
rnacentral:rRNA from 1 species